rnacentral:rRNA from 1 species
AGUGAACGCUGGCGGCGUGCCUAAUACAUGCAAGUCGAACGGAGUGGCGCCCGGGUGAGUAAUGUAUAGCUAAUCUGCCAUACACUAGAGGACACCAGUUUGAACCAACUGCUACUACUCUAUAGUUUAGGAUGAUGCUCUAUUGUUUCAGCUAGUUGGUGAGGUAAUGGCUCACCAAGGCUAUGACGCAUAACUGGUCUGAGAGGAUGAUCAGUCACACUGGAAACUAUACACUGUUCAGAAUCCUUCCGGAGGCAGCACGAGGGAAGAUUGCUCAAUGGGGGAAACCCUGAAGCAGCAACGCCGCGUGGAGGAAGACACUGUACGGAGCGUAAACUCCUUUUGUGAGGGAAGCGGUACCUAACGAAUAAGCACCGGCUAACUCCGUGCCAGCAGCCGCGGUAAUAC